GGAACACUCUCGGCCCUCUUCAGCCACUCCCUCCCCAACCCACACGCCAUCAACCUCCAGACCCUCUCGCCGUGGCUUAGAGGUGUCUCUGACAACGUGGCACACUGGGAAGGCCUUCUUUCCUGCUACCAAUACAAAUGCAUUCUGAAUUUGAUAUGUCAUUAAAUGUAAAAAUACAGCCAAUUUGAAACAAGCAAAUGGAAAUUCCCAGGAACCAAAAACAGAAAGAAAAAUCAGAGCUACCGCAGUGCUGUCCCUGCAGACAGAAUUUGGGAGAGGUACUCAGAGUCACCUCCUGUGAGCCUAUGCAAGCCAGCUCCUGCACAACCCUGGUUUUAGUCCAGGUAAAGGCCCGCCCAGGUGUUUGAAUAUGGACUCCUCACAUACUUCUGCAGACUCCAGCUUUGGGUUGACCCAUCGGGGAGAGGGAACUUAGCAUGAACCCUUGUAUAAAAAUGAAAAUCUCUUUCAUUGGAAGGGAAGAUCACUGACUGGGCUAGUCUCCCAAGACCUAGGAAAGAGCUUGGCUGUCAGAGGGUGAGCUAGGGAACGAACUGUGCUUGUUGAUAUCCACAUCCAAGGCUGAUGGCCGGAGGAGGCAGUUAAGAGCAAAAGGCAAUGGACCAAACUACAUCAAAGAUGGGAUUAUAACAAAACUUUAAAAGUUGGUUUACAAUGCAGAAAAUUCAUUCUUCUGGAAACAGACUUGAAAAAAAUAAAAUAUUUACUCUACCUUUCUUGUUCAGAACCAUGCCUUAGGCCUUCUGCAGAAUUCCACAUUAAACAGGAUGAAGAAUAGGUUGUUAGCAGACUGAGGUACUUGGGGCAACAUUUCGUACACAACAGGAGGGAGAAACGACUCCAGAAAAACAAUCAGAUUUUGGUGAAACUGAUGUUUGCAAGUGUGAGUGAGCCCCAUGUGCUGAAGCUUCAGGAACCCCUGAGAUGGCACAAGUUCUGCCGUACUGGGCAACGGAUGGUCUUGAAGCACACAAGACACUGGAAGACAUGAGGGCAAUUGCUACACGCCAAGCCCGGUGCCAAGCACGUUGUGCAGGUUGUUUCGUUGAUUCCGGGCCUGGCCUUUGAGAUCUGUGGAGGAUACCAUGAACUGGCUGGCUCUGCAUCCUGCUUGCAGGCGCUGGCAAGCUGGAACCUGCUUUUCUACGCCACACUGCAGAGGGCCCUGAAUGUGAUCUAUGAUUGCAACAAGCAGCCCUGAUGCGGAUCCGGAGGGCAGGGAUGACGUGGGGGCUGCCUUUCUGGUUGACCUGCUGGUUGUCUUGUGGUAGAGGAGAUUUUGCCUUGCAAUUUUACAUACUUAUGCUACGUGGAAGGCUGGGUGGCGUGACUUCAGAAAAAUGUUUCCUCAGGAAAGAGACACACAGAGAGAGAGAGAAAGAGAGAAAGAGAGAACCCACCUACCUGUUUUGCAAAAGUCUCAUGAAUCAUCCCUUCCUGUGGUCCUGCUCCCUGAGAUCCUUUCACCGCUCACAGUGGGCUACUUCUAAGAGCGUGCCUGGCACAGGGUCACUGAGAGCAUAGUCUUAAUAAAACAAUGAUGGAU
rnacentral:lncRNA from 1 species